CCCCAUGUUCCUCUAGGACCCACCUACCUUAGGUGCAAGCUCUCUCCAAACUGCUCUUACCCACAAUUCACCGCUCCCCAAAUCAGAGACACCAACUGCAGCAAAAGCAGUUGCCCCUGCAGUCAUCUGCAGGGCAAGUAUCCCCAUUCCUUGCCUGCUGCCAUUUCUUGAGAGCUCUAGCUGUUGCCCAUCUCUUGCCUCCCUCUGCCAAGAAGGCUGCAUGAUUGCAGCCCUUUGUGCCCUCUAGCCCCACUCCUUGACUGCUACUCCUGGAGUGGAAGACUACACUGCUUCUUGCUCCUCCUCAAGCCUUCAAGGAGCUGUUGGGGAAAUCUGACAAUUCAGAACUGUUUUCUUGGAUAUGCUUAGCCUUUGGGCAUAUCCAAAAAUUUAGAAUUCCAGGAAUCACAAGGGCACAAGCUGGACUCUCCCAGCCUAUAGCCUCAGCAAAAGGGCCAGGGCUGAAUGAGCUGCAGAUAGAAGCACUCCUAAUCACAUAUCAGUUCCUGUUCCUAAAGACAUCUCCCUGUCCCAGCUUGUGCCAUUUAGCUGCUGCCCCAACUGUUCUGGAGGCAUACUGCAAGAGGGGGUUCAAUCCUCACUGCUUGCACAGUGAUUCCUCCCCAGACAGCCCUCUGCCUUGCCACCUGCUUCAAUCCUUGUAUUUGGUCAAGGAGUCCCAUAUUCCCAUCCUGCAUAGCAGCGGGGCUACCAGAGCCCAGGUGUAGGGGAGUGGGUAGGCCAAAGCUACUGCCACAACCCACUUAGCUCACAUGUGCUUCUGGCCAAAUCUGGUGCUGGGGGAAGGGCCAGCCAUUGGUACAGGCACACUAAGGGUCAUUCUAGUUGCAAAACACAGCUGGGGGGGGUGGGGGGGCAGGCAUGGAAAUGGAACUACACACAGCACAGUAGAGACUCAUAUGGACUGAGACACUGCCUGCACCUCCUUCUUCCCUGACUUCUAGGGAGGGAGAA